rnacentral:rRNA from 1 species
UCGGGAAUUUUGGGCAAUGGGCGAAAGCCUGACCCAGCAACGCCGCGUGAAGGAUGAAGUAUUUAGGUAUGUAAACUUCGAAAGAAUAGGAAGAAUAAAUGACGGUACUAUUUAUAAGGUCCGGCUAACUACGUGCCAGCAGCCGCGGUAAUACGUAGGGACCAAGCGUUGUUCGGAUUUACUGGGCGUAAAGGGCGCGUAGGCGGCAAUUCAAGUCAUCUGUGAAAUCUCCGGGCUUAACUCGGAACGGUCAGAUGAUACUGCUUUGCUAGAGUGCAGAAGGGGCAAUCGGAAUUCUUGGUGUAGCGGUGAAAUGCGUAGAUAUCAAGAGGAACACCUGAGGUGAAGACGGGUUGCUGGGCUGACACUGACGCUGAGGCGCGAAAGCC